UGGUCCAUGGUAUUUCCCCCAAAUCAAGUCCAAAUCCAAUACCCCAAUCCAAUUUCAAAUUCGUAAAAGGCAAACUUGAGGUUGAAGCUGAAGGUUGAAAGCCUGAAACCAACCGCAAACCCUUUCCCAAUUCCAAAAUUUCCAUUCGAAGCAAAAGUAGCAGCUGCGCUUGCAAUUUGUGCGAAGUUCGAACUGCGAAUGAUGGUCACUACUUUGCUGCUAGCUCUUGCUGCUGACGCGACACCACGGGCGAGGCGUCGAGGAAGAGGAUAAGGAGUCGUCGUCAAUGACGUUUUUAUUCGAGCAGUCUACAGGUGACUGUACAAGGAAAGAGAAAUAAAGAAGUGAAAGAGAGAGGGACUGUAAAGGAUUGACGACGUGGAAGUUGGAACUAUGUUAUUGGUUUUGAAUUUGCUUACUGAAUUUUUAUAUUGGAUUGGACUCUAAUGCAAAAUGAAUUCUACCUUUGAAGCUUAAAAUUACUAAUUAAUACACGAAAUUAGAACAAUAAUAGAUUUAA